rnacentral:tRNA from 1 species
GGGUAUAUAGCUCAAGUGGUAAGAGCACAUGUUUAGCAUGCAUGGAGUUCUGGGUUCAACCCCCAGCUCCUCCU